AUUGAACGCUGGCGGCGUGCCUAACACAUGCAAGUCGAGCGGUAACAGGUGUAGCAAUACAUGCUGACGAGCGGCGGACGGGUGAGUAACGCUUGGGAAUCUGCCUAUUAGUGGGGGACAACCCGGGGAAACUCGGGCUAAUACCGCAUACGCUCUACGGAGGAAAGCCGGGGACCGCAAGGCCUGGCGCUAAUAGAUGAGCCCAAGUCGGAUUAGCUAGUUGGUAGGGUAAGGCCUACCAAGGCGACGAUCCGUAACUGGUCUGAGAGGACGACCAGUCACACCGGAACUGAGACACGGUCCGGACUCCUACGGGAGGCAGCAGUGGGGAAUAUUGGACAAUGGGCGAAAGCCUGAUCCAGCGACGCCGCGUGGGUGAAGAAGGCCUGCGGGUUGUAAAG
rnacentral:rRNA from 1 species